GCUCCCCUUUCCCUGCUGCUCCCGGCUCCGGGGCUGCGGACGAUGGUUCUGCCAGGGCCCGCGGGGGCUGAAGAGCUCGUUUUCUAUGUGAAUGGGAGGAAGAUAAUAGAGAAAAAUGCUGAUCCUGAACAAAUGCUCUUGUCUUAUCUGCGAAAGAGGCUCUGUCUUACAGGAACUAAGUAUGGCUGUGGAGGAGGUGGCUGUGGUGCCUGCACAGUGAUGAUAUCAACUUAUGAGCCGGCUUCAAAGAAGAUACGUCACUAUUCAGCCAAUGCAUGUUUGCUUCCCAUUUGCUCCUUGUAUGGUGCAGCAGUGACUACAGUGGAAGGUGUUGGAAGUACAAGAACCAGGAUUCAUCCAGUUCAGGAAAGACUUGCCAAGUGCCAUGGCUCCCAGUGCGGUUUCUGCACACCUGGAAUGGUGAUGUCCAUAUACACUUUGCUAAGAAACCAUCCAGAACCCACUUCAGAGCAGAUGAUUGCAGCUCUGGCUGGGAACUUGUGCCGCUGUACUGGAUAUAGGCCAAUCCUAGAUGCCUGUAAAACCUUCUGUAAGGAAUCCAUUUGUUGUCAAAGGAAAGCAAAUGGAAAAUGUUGCUUGGAUCAGGAAGACGAUUUGUUUGACAAUGAAGAGAAGGUCUCCACCAGGCUGUUUUCAGCAGAUGAAUUCCAGCCCUUAGAUCCUACCCAGGAGCUUAUAUUCCCUCCAGAACUAAUGAGAAUGGCAGAAAAUCAACCAAAAAGAACUCUGGUUUUUCGUGGGGAGCGAGUAACGUGGAUUUCUCCUGUAAGCUUGGGUGAACUGCUGGAUCUGAAAGCUGCCCACCCUGAAGCACCUCUUGUGGUCGGGAACACCAGUGUGGGACCUGACAUGAAAUUCAGAGGUGUGUUCCAUCCAGUUCUUAUUGCUCCUGCAAGGAUCGCAGAUCUGAAUGUGCUGAAAUACACCAAUGAUGGAUUAACUCUGGGAGCUGCCUGCAGCCUCUCUCUAGUGAAAGACAUCUUGACAAAUGCAAUUGCUGAAUUCCCUGAAGAGAAGACGAGGAUUUUCUGUGCUGUCUUGCAGCAAUUGAGAACUCUGGGUGGAGAGCAGAUAAGAAAUGUUGCUUCAUUUGGUGGAAACAUCAUAAGUAGAAAAUCAACCUCAGACUUGAAUCCUGUUCUGGCAGCCAGCAACUGCAUGCUCAAUCUGGCUUCAAGAGGACAAAAGCGCCAGAUUGCUAUGAGUGAUAUUUUUGCAGAUGGAGUUGGUAACAAUACCAUUACACCAGAAGAGAUCUUAGUCUCUAUCCAUAUUCCCUAUUCUAGGAAGGGGGAGUAUGUCUCUGCAUUUCGACAAGCACCAAGACGGGAAAAUGCUCUUCCAAUAACCAAUGCUGGGAUGAGAGUCCUUUUUGAAGAAGGUACAGACAUUAUAAAGGACCUAAGCAUUUUCUAUGGAGGUGCUAUCUCAACAACAGUCAGUGCAAAACAAACCUGUUGGACACUUACUGGAAGACACUGGAAUGAACAAAUGUUGGAUGAAGCAUGCAGACUAGUUCUUAAAGAAAUUGCUUUUCCAGGCUCAGCUGGUGGUGAAAGUGUAGACUAUAAGAAAACUUUGAUGGUCAGUUUCUUCUACAGAUUUUUCCUGGAAGUAUCACAGUCAUUGAAGACAAUGGAUCCUUGCCAUUAUCCUGGCAUACCUAUGGAAUAUGGGAGUGUCCUACAAGAUUUCAAAACCAGAAUGCCCCAGAGUAUCCAAAUAUACCAGGAUGUAGAGCCGAGCCAGUCUCCCCAGGACCCUGUAGGACGGCCCAUUAUGCACCAGUCUGGGAUAAAGCACGCCACUGGUGAAGCAGUCUACAUUGAUGACCUUCCUUCUGUGGAUGGGGAGCUUUUCCUGGCUGCUGUCACUAGUUCCAGAGCUCAUGCCAAGAUUGUAUCCAUAGAUACCUCAGAGGCCCUAAAAGGAGAAGGUGUGUUUGAUGUCAUAACAGCUCAUGAUGUGCCAGCUGCAAAUGAGUUUUAUUUUUCUGAUGAUCCAGAGAUUAUAUUUGCAAGAAACAAGGUGAUUUGUGUGGGUCAGAUUGUCUGUGCUGUGGUCGCAGAUUCAGAUGUUCAUGCCAAGCAAGCAGCUGCCAAAGUGAAGAUAGAGUAUGAAAUGCUGGAACCAGUAAUUUUAACAAUUGAGGAAGCUAUAAAACACAACUCGUUCUUCGAGCCAAAAAGAAAAUUAGAACAAGGAAAUGUUGAUGAGGCAUUUGAAACUGUUGAUAAUAUAAUUGAAGGAGAAAUUUGCAUUGGGGGACAGAAACACUUUUACAUGGAGACUCAGAGUAUGCUUGCUGUUCCAAAAGGAGAGGAUAAAGAAAUUGAUUUAUAUGUGUCAACACAACAUCCAGCAGUUAUUCAGGAGAUGGUAGCUGCAAGUUUAGGUGUUCCAGCCAACAGGAUCAUGUGCCAUGUUAAACGAGUUGGUGGAGCUUUUGGUGGGAAAAUCCUGAGAACUGGCUUACUGGCAUCAGUUGCUGCAGUGGCAGCAAACAAAACCAACAGAGCAGUCCGUCUUAUUCUGAGCCGAGAGGAUGAUAUGAUAAUCACUGGUGGCCGACAUCCUUUUAUUGCUAAAUAUAAAGUUGGCUUCAUGAAUGAUGGUAGGAUCACAGCUGUGGAUGCCAAAUAUUAUGUUAAUGGAGGAUGUACCCCUGAUGAAUCUGUCCUGAUAGCUGAAGUUUCCUUAUUAAAAAUGGACAAUGCAUACAAGAUUCCCAACUUGAGAUGCUGGGCUUAUGCCUGCAAAACAAACUUGCCAUCAAAUACAGCAUUCCGAGGCUUUGGCUUUCCUCAGUCGGGACUGGUGACAGAAACUUGGAUAACAGACGUUGCAGAUAAAACUGGUUUAUCACCAGAAAAGAUUAGAGAAAUAAAUAUGUAUAAGAAGAAUGAGCAGACGCCCUUCAAACAAGAACUCGAUCCACAGAAUUUAAUACGGUGUUGGAACGAAUGUAUGCAGAAAUCUGCAUACUACAGUAGGAGAACAGCUAUCAAUGAAUUUAAUAAACAAAAUUACUGGAAGAAAAGAGGGAUUGCCAUUGUACCGAUGAAAUUUCCUUUUGGAUUAGGCACACCUUACCUUUCUCAGGCUGCUGCACUGGUUCAUAUUUAUACUGAUGGGUCUGUGCUUCUGACACAUGGUGGAAUUGAAAUGGGGCAGGGUAUUCAUACAAAAAUGAUCCAGGUUGCUAGUCGGGAAUUGAACAUCCCAAUGUCAUGUAUUCACUUCUGUGAAACAAGCACAACAACUGUUCCCAAUGCAUGUGCCUCAGUAGGAUCUGCAGGGACAGAUGUCAAUGGCAUGGCUGUGAAGGAUGCUUGCCAAACUCUUCUGAAACGCCUGCAGCCCAUCAUCAAGAAGAACCCAACAGGGACCUGGAAUGAGUGGAUUAAAGAAGCUUUUAAACAAAGUGUGAGCCUUUCAGCUACUGGCUAUUUUAGGGGUUACAAUGAAUACAUGGACUGGGAGAAAGGGGAAGGACAUCCAUUCACAUAUUUUCUUUUUGGAGCUGCUUGUUCAGAGGUUGAAAUUAAUUGUCUAACAGGAGAUCAUAAGAACCUUAGAACAGACAUUGUUAUGGACAUUGGAUGCAGCAUAAAUCCAGCUGUGGAUAUAGGACAGAUUGAAGGUGCUUUUGUUCAAGGCAUUGGACUGUACACAAUGGAGGAGUUAAAGUAUUCUUCAGAAGGAGUCCUCUAUACUCGGGGUCCAGAUCAGUAUAAGAUCCCUGCUGUUUGUGAUAUUCCAGAACAGUUUAGUGUUUCCCUGCUGUCAUCUUCUCAAAAUCCUUAUGCUAUCUAUGCAUCCAAGGGGAUAGGUGAGGCAGGAUUUUUCUUGGGAUGCUCUGUGUUCUUUGCUUUGAGAGAUGCAGUAACUGGUGUGAGGAAUGAAAGAGGACUGAAAAAGACGUUUGCACUGAACAGCCCCCUGACUGCGGAGCAAAUACGGGCAAACUGCGCUGAUGCCUUUACUGAGAUGAUGGCAAACCAAGAAGCUGCUUCCUCCUUGGGCCACAUCUCUGUGACUGACAAACCAUAGUGCACAAGACCGGAAUGGAAAACUGAUUUACUGCCCCAACACACACUAAUCAACACACAGAUAAAUGUAUUUUCUCUUUUUCUGAAUAGAAUCAGCUACCAAAAAUAUGCAUUUUGUAUCUUAACAUCAUUAUCUUCAUUCUUCCUUCAGUGCAGUCAUUACACUAUUUUGUUUAAAUUACUGCAUUUAAUUGUUAGAAAUAAAUCUUCCGCAUUUGAACUAUAUAUUUUCAACAAGAAAGAUCUGCUGAUCAGCACAGCUCAAAUACUGCAGGAGACACAAGUUAGAAUCAAAUGAAAAGGUAUGCUAGAUAACUUACUGCCACAUAUUACACUAAACAACUUCAUAUGGUAAGUGAUUUUGUAAUGGCUUCAGCUAAUUUUCUAAUUUAGAUUUGAGUCUUGCAGUGAAGUGUGAGGGCAGAAAUCUUUGUCAAGGAAUCAGAAACUUGCUUGUUAGAUUCAGAACUUUUUUGAACAGAAGUGAUGUCCUGACUUGUAGUAAAGCUGGUUUAGAAUCUUUUGGCACAGGUGUCUUUGUGUUAAAAACAUGCAAGAAACGACAGUUAUGAUUCUCUUUUGCUAUGCCAUGCAAGUUGCCAUGGCUGGUCUGGAUAUACAGAAUUUUAUCCCAAAGGUUGACAGAGUUGUAAUUCCCAGCAGAAGCUUUCUUUAUCUCAUGGAGCAAGCCAAAAGCCUCUGAACACAAUGGGAAAACUGACAUGGAGUUCAGUGUGCUUUGAAUGGGAGAAUGGAUGACAUGUCAGCCUGCAGGCUGUUAUUAUUUCACCGCCUCUCAGAGUUCCACAAUUUCUCUUGUCUUCCCUUCAUUUGUUGAGCUGACACUGUAUCUGUGACAGAAAUCAGGUCAGUCAUUUAAACAGCUUUUGCAUUGGCUAUGAAGAUGUGAAAUCUUUAUUGUUUCAGUUUGUAUCUCUGUAACCAUGAUGGGUCGGUGCAAUGCAGUUCCUUAAACAUACUUGGCUAGACCAUUUUAGAUGUCAUAAGACCAUAGAGACAGGGCACAGGAGAGCACAGGACUGGAAGAUGUGAUACAGCAGCUUGAGACCAGGCAGGAAAUAGUAAUUGUAAUCACUGGAAUGGUACUGAAAGUGAUUUAGGCAGUUGAAGCCUUCUUGGGGUUUACUUCAUUUUCUGCACUUUCUUUGUAUUAAUUUGGCUUUUAUAUAUUGUUAGAAGUCAAUAAAUUAAAUGUGAAUGUUGCUGUCACAAUUAGUUUUUCUGAUUUGAAGCAUCUUAGUUUCACUGUUUGGUGUUACAAUCUGAUUAUGAGAGAUGUCUGCCCCUGAGGUGAAAACGAGACCCUGUGCCAAAGUCAAUAAUCCCAGAGUCAUUCUUCUGGAAGUACUACUUUUCUACAGUCCAGGUCCUGGGUAUCCAUGGGGCACACAUGCCAUUCCAAUAAUUGGAGAUACUGUGUGUAUAAGAACUUGUUUCCUUUCCCAUAUUUUGUCACAGUGGGAAUUUUUGUCCAGAUGCUAACCAAACCUUCACCUCUGUUGGGUCUGGAAUCAGCUCCUUCCCGCUGUGCCAGCUGGGCUUAUCUCAGGUUCCAUUAUCUUAAAGGGGACAGUGUUUAAGACAGGCAACUACUUCUUUAGGUCCUUACAUAUGGGUAUGCUGCCAAAAUCAAGGAUUUGGUCUGAUUCUUUCUGUUCUUAGGCCUUUGAGCCUGCAUUGUUGUACCUACAACGCAUGAGGAGUACUGCAGUGGUUACUACUACUGCACUUGGCAGGACCCAUUAGGGCUUUUGCCUACAGGGACCUAGUGACUGACAUCACUCCAGUGCUUGUGUUGUGGUAGCUGGCACAGAUAUGUUAGGGGAUACCCACAAAACCAGCAGCAUAUCUCUGCUGAGAAUCAGCUUCUUGCCUUCUAAUGGGAGUGGUAGAAGAUCAGGGACUGGCUACUUUGUCCUGCAAGCCUUCACUCACUCUGAAUGAAAUACAGACAGCUUUGCUGUCUGUAAAAUGUAAAAUUGGUAAAUGAAACCUGAAAAGACAGGUACAUACAAUGAAGACUUUAAAAAAAUAUAUCCGUAAUUCCCCUUUGAAGAAAAUAAAGGUCAGCUGCAGUAAGGUAUUUAAAAAUUAAUUUGUUUCCUGGACAUGUAUACAAAGAAAUGGAUGAGAAUCUCGAAUCCCAAAUCAGGAUUUGGGAUUUCUCUCUUUAAGAACACAGCAUGUGUUGAAUAUGGAAGUUUUAACAAAGUCAACAUUACUACUAUACACACAUUUUAAAUGUGUGUGUAAAACUUGGUCAUUCUGCAGAAAAAAAAAAAUUAUAGAUAGUUCAGGUCAAGCUAAAAUGAGAACUGUGGCUCCAGAGCUUUGCUUUCGACACCCUAAAGAAGAGGGUUGCAUGUCCUCGGUUUUAGCUUCAGGCAUGCCUAUGUAUUCUAAAUUCUGGGCAAUAUACAGACCUGGAAAUAAACAGGAAAAACAGACUUGGAAGUUGUAGCUCAAACCCAAAAGUUCCCCCUCUUAUAUUACAGGGUUAGAAUUAGAGGGGCUCAAUUUCUUUGCAGAUUAUUUCAAGACACCAGAGAAGAGUUAGGGUGGGGAGUAGGAGGUGGUGCAUUAGCAUCUGAACAUGCAUUAAUUGCUGAGAAAUGGCAGACAUUGUGCUGGCUCAUCCCCACCUGCUUAUUUUCAGACUGAGCAUCAAAUUAAAAUUCUGCAGAACAAAACAAACUCAGUCAACCUUUAAGAGCAUACAGCAUUUCAUUAAUUUCUCUUGAUGCAUAAAGAUUUAUUUUUCAGGCUUUGAUGCAAGAGCAUGGCUGGCUUGCUCUUGACCAUCAGAUAAACAAACCUUUUUUUGUGACUGGCAGAAAGGUAAGUUAUAAAGGGAAAGGUAAGUUUAUGAACAGAACAUAACUAUACAAUCCAGCACUGCAUUUUCCCACAGUAGACAUUGCACCCAAUGUGACUGCAUCACAUUUGAUAUAACCAGUUUCAGGACAUACUGGAAGGUCUUUUUAAAGCUUGAUGUAUUUCAAGCAAAGGUUUAAGAGUGAUUAAUCUGAUAUUCCCCUGUUGAGUAGUCUGUGAAUACAUUUAACAGAAUUAAAGAUUAAAAAAUCAAUUUAGAUAUCUUGAAUUUUUGAGUGCAACUCAACCUGUAAAGUGUCAAAAUUCCUUGUAUCUCUAGGAAAGAAUCUCAUCCGUUGACAAAGACUUGCAACUUAACCUGAAUGUGUGCAUUCUUCCCCCACCCCCCCUCAGUUUCUUUGCAGUUCCUUUUGGGUCUUUGCAAUGCAGAACAAUUCCUACCCAUGGAUCCAAAACAGGAAUUUAUAUUUCCUCAUGAACUAAUGUCUUUAGGAAGACACAUUGUAAGCAGGGCAUCAUCCUGGGACUGGAACCCAAUCUCACCAGUUGGUACAUCUCUCCUUUGCCAUCAGAAGGAAUUGGUGGCUUCAGCUUUAAAUAACCUCCAGUCCAAAAAAAUUAUGUGUGCCAUGUGAAACGUGUUGGUGGAGCAUUUGUGGGGAAGAUACUAAACCAUCACUCUUUGUUGUAAUUGCAGCUGUGGCAGCCAACAAUUUCCUAAAGACAAACCUGGAACCUGUAAGCCAUGGGCCAUUGAUAUGGAUUAGUACUGCUUUCCUAAGGAUCAGACAAUCAGAUGACUCCUUCAGCCACUUCCUGACUGCAAGCAUUCCUGCAAGAAAGAAUCAGAACUUACACACGCACAUAGCAACCAUCAGCAGGUGUGCAGAGCAGAUGUGCAGAGCAGAUGUGCAGAGCAGAUGUGCAGCAGGUGACCAAGAGGGAAAGGUGAAGGGGAGGGCCGAGAGGGGAACCAUGACAACACGAGAUCUUUAUAGGUGUGGCAGCUCACAGUUUAACUCGGCUGUGCCAAACAACUGGCACUGACAGAUUGUUCUGGAAAGGAGGUUUUAAAGUGGCAGCUGUAUUAAUCUUGAAGGAACAUUUCCCCAUGAGGAGAGGAGCCUGAAAAACAAGUGUAAAGGUAUUUGAGAGAGAGAAAAGGAAAUGGCUGAGCUGAGCCAGUGUAGGUAUGCAUACAAAUCAAUACUCAGAAAGCCAUAAGAUUAACAGUAAGAACACGUUUAUCAACAUCAUUCUGUACCCAAAACACCAGCAUAAGAAACAACCGUGGAGAUGCUCAACAGGUAUUGCAUUAGUUCAGAUCCUGUGCUCAUUUACAUAAACACAAAUUUAUUUUCAUUUAUUUACAUGAUGACAGUGCAGACUUAAAUUAGCCUGCACUAUACUAUAGUAUAGGAGAGAGUGUGAGAGUGUGACCUGCACACAUCCUCAAAUAAGUUACAUUUAAUCUAAAUCUGUAGAGAUACAAAAAGAUCUUAUUCCUUUACAUUGGUAAAUUUUUCCUGUUCCUUUCUCUUGGUAAAGUGCAAAAACCUACAGCUAAUGGGAAAAGCUCAGCUUUGGCAAUGGGCUUUUCAGUUUUGUCAUAUCAAAGACUUUAGGGAGCUGACAACAGGAACUAUUAUAUCUUUGUGUUUCCUUUCCUUAAAAUGUGAUUUUAAUAAUUUUUGAUUUUUUUCUUCUUGGCUUUUUAAUUAUUUGUGAUUUAGACAAAUGCUCUCAUUUUAGAAUGAGCACCAAUGCAAUCAGUGCCUUGGGUUUAGAGUUAAUGGACAAAUAAUUGCUAAUAUUAAGGUGAAAAUGC